AACCAAUACUUUGAUUAGUAUGCAUUGUUAACCAAUACCCUAUUAUAAUCAAAUAUCAAUUUUGGGUAUAUUGUUCUAUACCAUUUAUCCCCUCCUACGAACUGAUUGAAUUUUUUGUUGGGGUUGAUUUUAUAAAAGGCAAAUCUCCAAAAUAGCACAUUUCUAAGUUUAUGUCACAAAAAUAACCCUCAAAAACUAAAAUGAUCAAAAUAGCAUUUUAUCUUUUGAAAAAUUUAAAUUUUUUUUAUUUUUCAAAAUUAGAAAUCUUAUCUCAAAACUCCACUCCCCAACUCUAAACCCUAAACCCUAAACCUUAAAUCCUAAACUCCACCCCUUAACUCUAAACCCUAAACCCUAAACCCCACCCCUAAACUCUAAACCCUAAACCCUAAAUCCUAAACCCCACCCCUUAACUCUAAACCCUAAUGUCUAAAUUAAUUUACCAUUAGGGUAUAAG
rnacentral:lncRNA from 1 species